UUUUCUCUGAACGACUAACGUUUUCUUUGUUUCGUGGUUCUCGGAAAAGGAAAAAAACUCAGUGUUAUUUAUGAAUUCCUGCUUUGAUAAUAAAUUAAUCUUUCAACCAUCCACUCCGAGCGGGACUUCCCGGUGUCCAAACAUUUCAAUUCCGAUUUCCAUUCCCGUUCCGACGUGUCAUCCCAUCCCUUGCCAAGAUGAGGCCACCCUCAGGGUGCGGGAUCAGCAACUUGUAUUCCGUCUGGGUGCCCCCACCCACCCUGAUGGCAUGGAUAUCGAUUUCCCCUUCCGGUGAACAAAUUUACCUCAUACCCCUCCGUCCCACUCCCUCUCAUCCCCUCUGUCUUUGUACGUCCUCUCACCUGCUUAUCACUUCACUCUGGGUCCACUGCUCCAUCCCUUUCUCAAUAUAUUGAAGUGUACCUGUGAGUGUCGAUACUCAAAAUAUCCUCACACGUCUGGUGUUACAUGGUUCGACCUUCAUACAUCCAGUUUAGUGUUUAAAUAUAUAAAAAGUUAAAGAAGCUAGAAUCUUUACAUAAAUUAUUAUCGCAACGAUACGUAUAUAAAAUAUUGUAUUUUGGAAGUGACAAAUGUUAACGGGUGGAGAGCAACCAUUUAGGAGGUUUGGAAAUGCAUUUCAUCUAGUUCAUUUCCUCACUAAAUUACUCUUUUUUCCUAUCAACACAAAGAGAAAAAGAGCUUCUUUUCAAUCAACUACAGUUGGUGGAGCGAGGCCAAGGAGUUGAUCAGCUACUAAUCAUAUGAAAUGACGUAAAACUAGCUUGUAACCUAGAAUUUUUUUUUUCCAUUUGGCUUCCAAAACAAAAUUAAAUUUAUCCAGGUGUAGAAGGGGAUUUUGGAUGAUUAGCUUGUGUAUCUGAUCAAAAUCAGGCCGAAGAUGAGCGAGAGUGAAUAUUUCUUUCAUUAUUUUCGACUCUUAAACAUGGGUUUCGAUGUUCAUUCCUUGCUUAAUAUAGCUCCUUCCUGGAAUCCAAUGGUAUCCAUGGGAAAGAGCGGAUGAAUGCUUGCAUUUGUGUCCAGCUAUUUCCCAGCUUCCUAGGACAACGGGUUGAGCGAGAAGGAAUGUCACAAAUACCUAAAUAAAAAACAGUCACAGCUCCAGGAUUUCACCAAAAACGAUCAAAUAUCCUAAUGUUAUUAGUGGUAUUUUUCCCCACUAGCCAACACCCCCUCAUCCCAACCCCCGCUUCCGUAAAAUUCCCUCUAUUUAAUAUCCAGGCUUGCUAAAGUCCGCGCUUGUUUAUUUUGACUGUUUCUCAGAGGUGUCGGAGCGGCUCUCCGGCUCCGCUCUGGUAGCACUGCAGCCCUGAAUGUAUGAGACAGUACAUUGUUAAAUGCAAAACCCUGAACAAUUUCGAUGAUCAGAAGGAUCUUAGACUCCAGGUUCAUCGCUCCCUGAAAGAGACUGCACAGAUUGAUCGGGUGGUUAAGAAGGCAAAUGGCAAGGUUGUCUUUAUUAGUUGAAGCACUGAGUUCAAAACUCAUGAAGUUAUGUUGCAGAUUUGUAAAACUUGUCAGCCCACAUCUGGAGUGUUUCAUACAGUUCUGGUCGCCCCCAUUGUCGGAAGGAUGUCGAAGCCUUGGAGAGGGCGCAGAAGAGGUUUACCAGGACCCUGCCUGGAUUAGAGGGCAUGAGCUAUAACGAGAGUUUGGACAAACUUGUGUUGUUUUCUCCAGAGCGGCGCAGGCUGGGGUGAGACUGGAUGGACGUUUAUCAGAUUACGAGAGGAAUGGAUAGAGUGGACAGAGGUUAGACUUGCAGUGAGAGAUUUAUUGGAAGAAAAACCACGACUGAAGAUGAGGGAACAGCAACAAGUGAACCAGCCCGAGGAUUGAGAGCAUCAACUAGAGAGAACCCAUCUGACUCGGAGAUUCCACUGAUUCAGUCAGGAGAAAGUUUGGUUAGAAAAUGACAAGGAAUUUGUCUACAGGAAUCUCAAACAGAACAUACCAGUUUUGCUGUCUCUAUCCAGAUAUUUAAGAAGUGGAGCAAGGGAUUCAAUCGAUCAUCCUUCCUGCUCAGACUGUGGGGAGGGAUUCACUCGGUCAUCCUUCCUGCUCAGACUGUCGGGAGGGAUUCACUCAAUCAUCUGACCAACUGGCAUGCCCGUCAUUUUGCACAGGGUAGAUGCCAUUCAUCUGCUCAGACAGUGGGAAUGGAUUCAUGCGGACAUUUCAACUGAAGGUGCAUCAGCAAGUUCACACUAGGACAAGGCCAUUCACCUAUUCUGUGUGUGAGAAGGGAUUUAGUCAGUGUACCCACCUGUGGACACACCAGUCAGUUCACACUGGGCAGAAGUUGCUCAUCUGUUGAAUUUGUGGGGAAAGAUUCACUCGAUCAUCUGACAUAAUGGCUCAAAAGCAAGUGGACACCGGGGAGCAGCCGUUCACCUGCUCAGCCUGUGGGAAGGGA